AAAUGGUUUUGAAUGAAUGAUGAAAUUAAAAGAAAACAAAUCUAUGUUAUGAUAAUGAAACUAUGAAAAUAAUAAAGCAUAAACAUAACAAAAAAUGUUAAAAGAAAAUAAAAUGCUAAAAGAAAAUGCUACAUAUGGGUAUUGAACCCACCCCACUCAAGACUAUGACACUACCAUUCUCCACCAAACCACUCAUGGUUAUUUAUUAUUUUGAUGCUACUUUAAAUAUAUAAACCAAAAUAGAUUAAACAUUAGAAUAAAAACUAAAAAAAAAAGGUUGUUGGACUACCAGUAGUUAAACCCAGCCGCUUGGCUGUUGGGUUUUUCAAUGGGGAUAAGUUGAAAACAUAAAAACAAUUAUUAACUAAACCUAGGAAUUCUAACCAAAACCUUUAAUGUUUUUAAAAAAACCUAUUCUGUUUAAAAAUAAAUCAAGGAAAAGAUAAAUUGGAAUAGUAACAGACUCGUUCUCUCCCCAUCUCACGCUCUCGGCAAGCUCGCUCUCUCCUC
rnacentral:lncRNA from 1 species